UUUUCUUGUAUGAAGGAUGGUUUUGCUUGU
rnacentral:piRNA from 1 species